AUACUCUAAGCUCAGGACCAAAGUCCUGGUCUCACAACAGGAAAGUUUUGUAACUGAAACAAAGAAAGUGCAAGAGCCCUGUGAUCGGAAGGCUCUGUCAUCAGCAUCGACGAUUUUUCUGUGUGUAGAUAUUGUGUCAACUUGUUCGUCUGACUUUGCGUCUGUUGAACAAGAGGCUUAACACUUCGGGGGUGGUGUGCUUCCAGGUGUGGUUCAAGAACCGGCGGGCGAAGUGCCGGCAGCAAGUGAAGCAGCAUCAGCAGCAGCACAACGGAAGCGGAGGCGGGGGUGGCGAGAAGACGUCGAGUCGCCACGGGAGCAAGAGCAAGAGCGCCUCGGGCAACAGCACCUCCAACGCCAACGCGGUGUCCUCCAAGGCCGGCACCGGGGGCACCGGGGGAGCCGGACACCCGACGAGCACGGCCCCCCCCCCGCGGCGGCCCCUCCCUCUCCUUCAACACCAACACCACCAGCUCCUCGGCCAGCUCGCCCCUCGUCCCCUCCACGCCCCACCACCGGGGGGUCGACUCCCCCGCCACCCCCACCCACUCGCCCUACAUCAAACCUCUGCUCAGUGCCACGCCGCCCAUACCCUCCGUUUACACCUCAGUUGCAAAUGCAUCAAUAUGGAGUCCUGCAAUUUUAGAUUCUUGUAUAGAUAGAUCACCAUCGGGAUCUGGAUACAGUGGUGGGUCCACCAACACCGUCAAUAGUGCUGUCACCACUUAUCCUAACUCCCAUCAUCACGCUCAUCAAAAUUAUAAUUCAUAUUACUCAAAUACCGACUACUUGGGCUCUUCAGGGGUCAUGGCACACUCUCAGCUGUCUAGUGAAAACGGUUUGGACUCAUCAUGGGUGAAGAGAGAAGAUUCCUCGUGGUUUUACAAUUCCUCCAGCUGGGAGAGGAAGUGAGAUCAUACUAGAUAAUAUUUCUUGACUGCAGUCAUUUUAUCGUGCUUGUUGUG
rnacentral:lncRNA from 1 species